GACGUAGGUGGCGAACGUUAUCCGGAAUUAUUGGGCGUAAAGGGUGCGUAGGCGGCAUGAUAAGUUAUUGGCGGCAAAUCGAGGCUCAACCUCGUGGAAACUGAUAAUACUGUUUUGCUUGAGUACAGGAGAGGUUAACGGAACUCCAUGUGGAACGGUAAAAUGUGUAGAUAUAUGGAAGAACAUCAAUAAGGCGAAGGCAGUUAACUAUUCUGUUACUGACGUUGAGGCACGAAAGCGUGGGGAGCAAAACGG
rnacentral:rRNA from 2 species